rnacentral:rRNA from 1 species
AAGCGUUAAAGCUCCGGUAAAUACAGACCAAUAAUAAAGACAAUACACUCCCCACCCCCUAAAAAUAUUAAGCUAUCCUAUGCACACAUAGGAGAAACAAUGCUAAAAUCAGUAAUAAGAGGGCCCAAGCCCUCUCUUAGCACAUGUGUAAGUCAGAACGGACCGACCACUGACAAUCAACGGACCCAACCGGAGAGAAAAGGACCAACUUCCUAAAACCAGGAAAAUCCUAUUUAAUACCACAAACCGUUAACCCAACACAGGAGUGCUUAAAGGAAAGACUAAAAGGAGAAGAAGGAACUUGGCAAACACAAACCCGGCUUGU